GAUGAACGCUGGCGGCGUGCUUAACACAUGCAAGUCGAACGGUGAAGCAGAGCUUGCUCUGUGGAUCAGUGGCGAACGGGUGAGUAACACGUGAGCAAUCUGCCCCUGACUCUGGGAUAAGCGCUGGAAACGGCGUCUAAUACCGGAUACGAGCUGCGAAGGCAUCUUCAGCAGCUGGAAAGAAUUUCGGUCAGGGAUGAGCGCGCGGCCUAUCAGCUUGUUGGUGAGGUAACGACUCACCAAGGCGUCGACGGGUAGCCGGCCUGAGAGGGUGACCGGCCACACUGGGACUGAGACACGGCCCAGACUCCUACGGGAGGCAGCAGUGGGGAAUAUUGCACAAUGGGCGAAAGCCUGAUGCAGCAACGCCGCGUGAGGGACGACGGCCUUCGGGUUGUAAACCUCUUUUAGCAGGAAAGAAGCGAAAGUGACGGUACCUGCAGAAAAAGCGCCGGCUAACUACGUGCCAGCCGCCGCCGUAACAC
rnacentral:rRNA from 1 species